AUACUGCUAUAUUUUAUUUUGUUUCAAUAUAAGUUGUUUUAAUUUCAGACUAAGCCCCUAAGAAGGGAGAUGAACCGGAAAUCCUGAAGCACGGAGCUGGACAGACGAUGAAGCAGGUCUGCCACUGGAGUGGGACUGCAUAGUUACCGAACUCUCUGCCAAAACCCCUCAGCAUCUCAGAAGUCUGAAGAGGACCUCAAGUAGGACACACACAAAGCCAGUGGGGCAGGAGAAACCGAGCUAAUCAGAAGGCACCAAUCUGGGCACUCCACAGUUCCACAGGCCUAAUUUCCAGGCAGUUUAACAUCUGUGGAUUCCAGUGGGAGUCCUGAGUGCUCAGCUGUUGAGAAAAUCAGAGAAUGGGGGGUUCGGGGUUGGGUUGUUUGUCUCCAUCCCACCGGUGUGACUGGGUUCUGGCGGGGCAAUCAUGACAUCCAGUGGGAAACUCCUGAACUACAGCAGCAUUUUAUGGGUGGAAUGAGCCGCUCCCGAGUCUCAAACUACAAUCGAAGGGUAAGACCAUGGAAGGGAAACUGUUCAAGAAAGCUUCUGGAUGAAUGGCUCAGGACUAAGAGUUUUGUGCCGGUCUCCUGAAAUCUCCAGUAUCUAAAUGUGUUUUGAAAUGCCUCUUCUUGCCAGGGAGAAAAACAUUUUCUCUUUGGGGAAGAGUUGACAACAGCAUCUCAGUGGGAUUAAUCCUCACAAAGGAGUCUCACUUCCAUGAAAGGUUUUCUUUAA